AUUAUUACUAUUAUUAAUUAUUAAUUAUUAUCAUUAUAAUAAAUGAUUUUAAAUAACGACGAAAAGGUUAUUGAAUUCUUAGCUUCUGUUAUCCUUUUUUUUUAUUGAGAAUGUUAGAAAAAAAUCGAACCAAAGAUAUUUACUCUACGUCAGUAAUUUCGGAUUUUUUCAACCGCAAGAAUGUACAAUGCUUGCUACAGUGUAUUAUAUUCAUUAAAGAAUAAAACGUAUUUAUCACCGUUUGCGAUUGUGCAAGUCAACGAUAUUCUACUGUCAACUUGUAUUUUAUUUAUAAAAUUUCAAUAAGUAAAACAAAUUUUUAGUUUAUUUACUGUUAAUAUAAUAAAGUGAUAUUAAAAAUUUUUUUAAACUAAUAAAUCAUAUUUCUAAUUUUAACAAUAAAACAGUUAAAUAAUAUUCAAAAUAAAGAAAUAUUAAAUUUAAAAAAUAUCAUGGAUUCUUAUGGCUGCGGAUGUAAAAAUGUUAUUAUCAUAGAAGGAAUAUUUGGAGAAAUUUAUCCUGAUUUAUCAUGUUACAAAGGAGAGGAUUUGAAAUAUAAUCAAGAAUCUUUUGAAUCUCUAAUCGAAGAUAGUAAUGAAGGUUUCAAUGAAUUAAAGCCUAUAAUUGUUAAAUCUUAUACCAUGAUAAAUAAUAAUCGAAUGGAAGUUACUGUUAUCACAUGGGGUGCAUCUAUUGUAUCUCUCAAAUGUCCUGAUAAAUUUGGUCAUAGUACAGAUAUUGUUCUUGGUUUUGAUGAUUUAAAAAGUUACAUGAAUCCUGUACUUAAUCCAUUUAUCGGAUGUGUAUUAGGCAGAUGUGCAAAUCGUAUUAGAAAUGGUUGUUUUAGUAUUAAAGAUAAAGAUUAUGAAUUAACUAAGAAUGAUAAUAACCAUCAUUUACAUGGAGGGACAAAUGGAUUUGGUCGACAAAUUUGGAACUCACAUAUUGAUGACUGUUCUGUUGUUAUGAGUUAUUUAAGCGAAGAUGGAGAAGAAGGAUAUCCAGGUGCAGUCUUAGCUACAGUCAGAUUCAAAUUAACACCUGAUAAUAAAUUGGAAAUACAUAUGCGUGCAACAACAUCUAAAUCAACUAUAAUAAAUAUGUCACAUGGUUCUUUGUUUAAUCUUGCUGGACAUGAUGCUGGUGAAAUAGAAUUAAGAAAACAUAAAAUAUUGUUGAACUGUGAUCGCUGGACUUUUUCAGAUUACUCAGAUUCUAUACCAACAGGAGCUAUCAGAGGAGUAGGUGGAACAAUUAUGGAUCUUCGUAUACCAAGACUUUUGGGAGAAUAUAUGGAGAAAGUUCCUCCAGGAGAAGGUUUUGAUCACAACUUUUGUGUAACAAAAAAUUGGCAAUCUGAUAGUUCAUUCGUUGCUCGGGCAUUACAUAUGAAAUCCGGACGUGUUCUAGAAGUCUACUCAAAUCAGCCUGGUCUUCAAUUUUAUACUGGUGGGCGUUUGUUACAACAAUUUACUCCUUCUACAUUUGUAACAUAUGAUCAUUACGUACAUCAACAAAAGGCAGAUGAAGAUAUUAACAAUUAUUUGAGUAUAAAUGAAGAAAAUAAAGAAAAUGGAGAGGAAUUGUUAACACCUGAUGUAAAACCACUUCAGUUUCUUACAGGAAAAAGAGGAGCACAUUAUAAAAAGAAUUGUGCUUUUAGCAUUCAACCUCAGAAUUAUCCAAAUGCUAUUAAUUAUGUAUGUAAAUGUUUAUAUGAUGACACUAUAAUCUAUUUUACUAUAAUGACAAAUACAUUUUUUAUUUUUAUUUUUAUUUUUAUUGUUAUGAUAAAUAUAUUUUUUUUUCAGGCACAUUUUCCAUGUGCAAUUCUGUAUCCAGGUCAAGUUUAUUGUCAUGAUCUCACAUAUAAGUUUGGAAUACAACUUGCUAAUUAUAUGUAGAUAUGGAAAUAUAUAACAUACAAAAAAAUAAAUAAAUAAAAUUAAAAUAGCAAAAAAUUUAGCUACUGCACCUAUUGUAUUUCCAAAUGAAUAGCUGACUGUUAAUGAGCGCUGAAUCCAUCGAGGUAGUGCCUGAAUCUUGUAACGGUAACGUACAUCAACUAAUAUUACACUUGAAUAAUCGUUGAUGUG